GAAGAGGACACUAAAGAGUUCAGGUGCACGACAUGAGGAUUUAAUGAGACAGCUUUUAUCUUACUGCUUUCGUGGAAGAUCAGUGUUGAUGCUACCAGAGAGGACGGCUCACUUGGCAGACUUGUAAAUGACGAUAAUGUGAAUCCAAACAGUAAAAUGACAGUUACCAGAGUGGAUGGAAGGCCCCAUCUGUUUGUUUGCAAUCAAAGAUAUUUGUCCAGGAGAAGAAAUCACCUAUAACUAUGGUGAUUCCAACUGGCCAUGGAGAAGCAAGAAAUCCAACAUGGUGCCAUCUCAGGCUGUGGAUGAGAAUGCAGCCAGUUCCUCUCCUAACGACACAACAAAGAAAUCCAACAUGGUGCCAUCUCAGGCUGUGGAUGAGAAUGCAGCCAGUUCCUCUCCUAACGACGCAACAAAGGACUGCGAUCAUGAUCUAGUCCCUGACGAAAUGUCAAGUUUAGAAAAAUGUUUUGCAUGUGGAGGACCUUUUUCGCCUCUGAAAUGGAGUGGUGUGAGAUGUGAAGUUUGCUACCAGUCCUGGCACAAAAGAUGUUAUGUUAGCCACAAGGUGAACCUCACUGAACCUCUUCCAGAGGUAAGUGUUUUUGCAGAAUUCUUCUCAGUAAAAUAUGUAAGGUAAACAAAGUCUUACUUUGUGUUUUUGAUUGUUAUUAGGUCUUUAGUGAAGAUAGUUCAAGUGAGGGGGCUUCAUCAGAAGAGGAAUAUGUGCCAGAUUCUAUAGCUGACUCAGACAGCUCAUGGGACAACAAAUCAGAGCCUUUAAAUAUAAGUUGCAAACAAGUACAGAACUCUGAGAUCUCCAGCAGUCAAUCUGCUUGCAAAACGAAAAGACCUCGCCU
ensembl:lncRNA